rnacentral:ncRNA from 2 species
GUUAUCUCAUCGGGGUGCCAAUAGGCUGAGAGUUUACCCGCUGAACCUGAUCCAGUUAAUACUGGCGUAGGAAUUGAGAUAUCAGCCUGU